CUGGCUCAGGAUGAACGCUGGCGGCAGGCUUAAUACAUGCAAGUCGAACGGUAAGGCCGAGCGUAGCAAUACGUGAGGUACACGAGUGGCGCACGGGUGCGUAACGCGUAUGCAAUCUGCCCCCGACCGGGACAAAACAGCUGGAAACGGCUGCUAAUAUCCCAUGGUCAUGAGAGACGGCAUCGUUUUUCAUGUAAAGAUUCAUUGGUCGGGGAUGAGCAUGCGUAUUAUUAGGUAGUUGGUGGGGUAACGGCCCACCAAGCCGACGAUGAUUAGGGGUUCUGAGAGGAUUAACCCCCACACUGGAACUGAGACACGGUCCAGACUCCUACGGGAGGCAGCAGUAGGGAAUAUUGGGCAAUGGAGGCAACUCUGACCCAGCCAUGCCCGCGUGAAGGAAGACGGCCCUAUGGGUUGUAAACUUCUUUUGCCGCAGAGUAAACCCGGUCACGUGUGGCCGGUUGAGAGUAUGCGGCGAAUAAGUAUCGGCUAACUCCGUGCCAGCCGCUGC
rnacentral:rRNA from 1 species